rnacentral:tRNA from 1 species
GCAGGAGCGCCACCGUCGGAGAGGUGGGGCGGGCUGUAAACCCGUUGCUUCGCGCUGAGCAGGUUCGACUCCUGUCUCCUGCA